rnacentral:rRNA from 1 species
UAGGGAAUCUUCCACAAUGGACGCAAGUCUGAUGGAGCAACGCCGCGUGAGUGAAGAAGGUUUUCGGAUCGUAAAGCUCUGUUGUUGGUGAAGAAGGAUAGAGGUAGUAACUGGCCUUUAUUUGACGGUAAUCAACCAGAAAGUCACGGCUAACUACGUGCCAGCAGCCGCGGUAAUACGUAGGUGGCAAGCGUUGUCCGGAUUUAUUGGGCGUAAAGCGAGCGCAGGCGGAAGAAUAAGUCUGAUGUGAAAGCCCUCGGCUUAACCGAGGAACUGCAUCGGAAACUGUUUUUCUUGAGUGCAGAUGAGGAGAGUGGAAUUCCAUGUGUAGCGGUGGAAUGCGUAGAUAUAUGGAAGAACACCAGUGGCGAAGGCGACCCUCUGGUCUGCAACUGACGCUGAGGCUCGAAAGCAUGGGUAGCGAACAGG